rnacentral:tRNA from 2 species
GCGGGAUUAGUUGAGCGGUUCAAUGUCUCCCUUCCAAGGAGAUGAGACGGGUUCGACUCCCGUAUCCCGCUCUA